rfam:Zea mays cultivar B73 chromosome 2, whole genome shotgun sequence.
UGCUCAAUGAUUCAGCCAUGCUAAGUCAUGGUAAUAUACGCUAUUCUGAUCCACACAAGGAUGUCAUCAGCAUUUCUGAGAGAA